AGGCCCGGUGGUCCAGGAUCCAGUGCUGCUCCCCAUGUGCCCAUCUCACAUGCUGCUCGGCACCAGCAGCCAUCACCACUCCACUUCUCUCAAGAGACAGAGUCUUGCUCUAUCCCCCAGGUGGGAGUGCAGUGGCAUGAUCUUGGCUCACUGCAACCUCCCCCUCCUGGGUUCAAGUGGUUCUCCUGCCUCAGCCUCUCGAGCAUCUGGGAUUACAGAUGGAGGAAGGAGGUCCCAAGCCAAGGAAUGCAGCAUGGGCCUCUAGAAGCUGGAAUGACCCUCACCUCACGGCCAGCAAGAAAUCAGGGAACUCAGUCUUACCCGAGUGAGCAGGAAAUCGAUUCUCCUCUGCAGCCUCUAUAGAGAACACAGCCUGUCAACACCCUGAUUUUGGCCCAAUGAGCCCUGUACCUCCAGAAGUGUAACGUAAUAAAUUUGUGUUGUUUUAAGCUA
rnacentral:lncRNA from 1 species